GAGAGAAAGAUGAAGAAACCGCAAUCGUGUGUAUUCGUACGGUUAUCAUGGCGAUGAAGCUCAAGUAUCUAUCUUCCAUUGCUGAGGAUGUCGUAACCAAAUGUGCACAGAAAUUGGAGAUCUCGGUUGAAAAUUUGGUGCAUGAUUUCGAACAAGAAUGGAACCCUGAUGUAGGAAAUUACUGCAAAAAUUUAGUUGAAUUUGUCAGUGGGAAGGCUCUAACUGAAUUGUGCCGCAACAACAUACAAGAAGAAAUCAAUAAUGCUUCAUUUAGCAGAUUAUCCUAUGAUAUUAUGCUUGCUUGGGAGAGACCUACUUACUAUGAUGAUGACCACUGCCUGCAGGAAGCUGAAGCAAAGGAGAAAGAAGAAAAGAAGUUAAAUGUGAAAACAACACAAGAACAAGAUGAUAUCCCUCUUUUUUAUUCAGACAUCAUGCCUCUCCUUGUUACUAAUGAGCCAAGUGUUGGAGAGGAUGCAUUUGUAUGGUUGGGAUCGUUAGUCCCAUUAGUUGCAGAUGUAGCAAAUGGAAGGUUUACUUUUGAAUCUUUAACAGCAUCGACUGGCCUCCGACUACACUAUCCGGCAUACGACAUGUUCUUGAAAGAAAUGGACAAGUGCAUAAGACAUUUGCAGAAACAGGCAACACCAACUGGUGUGGAACUGGCUGAUGAUGAAUAUAUAUUACAUGUAGAAGGAACAGCCAGCUCUCAGAGAGUAGUUCGCCACAUCGGAUCAACAAGUUGGCCUGGUAGGCUUACACUGACCAAUUAUUCUCUUUACUUCGAGGCUUCGGGAGUAAUAAAGUAUGAUGAUGCUCUCAAAAUAGACCUCUCUAAGGAUGUUGAGCAGAGUGUUAAACCAGUUGCCACAGGUCCAUGGGGAGCCCAACUUUUUGACAAGGCCAUAGUCAUUGACUCGACUGAUUUAUCCGAGGGAGUUGUGCUGGAGUUUCCAGAGCUAACAAGUUCUACAAGACGUGACCAUUGGCUUGCAUUGAUAAAGGAAAUACUGUUUCUCCAUCAGUUUUUAUCAAAGUACAAUGUAAAAUGCCCAAUACAAACAUGGGAGAUGCAUGCAAGGACAAUAUUGGGAAUCAUACGACUGCAUGCAGCUAGAGAAAUGCUAAGAAUAUCACCUCCUGUCCCAACAAAGUUCUUAAUAUUUUCGUUAUACAACGAAAUACCAAAAGGUGAUUAUGUGCUAGAAGAGCUUCAUGAUAGCCUCAGAAAGGUCAAUAGUAGACAGGCAUGUAGUGCAAGUUCUAUACUUAAGAGUAUGAACAUUGCCGGGCCAGUAGUUUCCGAUUCAAUAGUAGAAGAGACAAGUCCAACAAACAAAAGUUUUGAUGUUUUAGAUGAUAGUCCCUCGUUGGAUUCGGCUAUUAAACAAUCUAGGGAGGAAGAAAAGAAAGUUCUCGUUGCUAAAGCUACCACUGAAGAAUUAAAGGAGGAAGGAGUCACCGACAGUGUUCUGGUUUUGACGGAACUACUAAAGCCACUUAAAAGUGUAGUCCCUUGGUUGCAAGAAAUCUUCACAUGGGAAAGACCACCAGUUACUCUUGCUGUUCUUGCUGCAUCCCUGAUAAUCACCUACAUGUAUACAAUGCAGGGAAUGGGUUGGAAAGAUAGGUGCAGCUUUCUUGAUUUGGGUGAUAAUAAAGAUGCUUGAGGCAAGAGAGAAAAAGAUUAAUGAGAAAUGCAACGAGAUAGUAAUCAGUAGAUCCAAUAUGGCUUCUGAUCAAUCUACGAUUGAUAGCAUUGUCUCAGCCCAACAUGGAUUGUACACUGUUCAUGAGAUGAUGCAGAUAACAAACAUAGCAAUGUUAAAGAUAUGGUCUAUACUUAUUUCCAAGGCUGACAAGCAUGCAAAUGCAGUGAUGGUGGCAAUGGGUGGAUUGGCAUUCUUAUUGGCAGUAAUUCCGUUCAAAUUCUUCCUAAUGGGUCUCAUUGUGCAAAGCUUCACCAUGACAUUGAAGACAAGCAGCAAGUCUUCUGGAACUGGGAAUAGAAGAUUGAAGGAAUGGUGGGACUCAAUACCAAUAGUCCCUAUCCGUGUAGUAGACGAUGUUCCUCCUAUCACUAAAGAUGCUAGAUAGUGUUCUUUUUCCAUUAUAUUGUCUAGAAUCAGUUAAUCUGUGUAGCCCCCACCGAAAGAACCUUUGCUUUUCUUUGCUUGUGUAUAAAGGGAAGUGAUAAUGUACAUGACAACAUAAAGACUUAAAGAUGCAUGUAUAAAAGUCAUCUACAUAGUAUACAACUUGUCGGCUGUUUCAUUGCA